CUACCUGUGCUUGCUCUAUAGCUACAAGUUUUUGUUCUUCCAAAAAUGUGAUAUUACUCACUGCUGCUAAUCUCAGAUCUUCAAUUGUUUUCGACGUUACUAAGUACUCGACCAUAGCUUCGAUCCUUUGCUUGAAGAGGCCCUCAAGGUCCUCGACUUCUCUAGAAAUUCUUUGCUCUAGAUCUGACAUUUCUAUGUUUUCUUUUUGUAUUGAACCUGUAGAAGUUAGAGAGGGUUCAAGCGUAGACCUUGCCUCCUCAAGCUUGCUUUCUAACACAUUAACAUUCUGCUUUACGUUAACUAUGUCACCCUCCAAUGAACUUGGAUUAGCAUCCUGAAUCACAUCACUGAAGAAGAAUAUAUCAUCUUUUCCGAUUUCCUUAAAUUUCUGAACUUCUGCACAGUAGAAAGAGGUAAAAUAAGCCUCAUGACAAAAAAAACUAGAGUCGAAGAAAUUAAUUUCAUGGAAGUAAAAAAAGGGAAAGGGGUGUAAAAAGAAGUUAAUGAAAAAAGAUUUCCAGAUCAUAAUGGAAAAAGCUUAAAUUUGGACAAUAUUAAUUGCCGCUCAUUUGGGCGCCUAUGAUACUAGAGAAAUGCUACGCUUACAAAAAACGCUACAGAAAAUACUUACAGAAUGAUGUGGCAGCUCUAGCUGGACGGAGCAUUUAAGAUGUUGUCUGCCACUUACCUACUUAUCAGUCAUUAUCACAUUUAUCUUUUUUUUAUUUUCAUAUGCUGUUAUCUUUUUUGUUUUGUUUGUACUUCCAAUAUUUUUAUUUUCUGUUAAACCUAAAAUAUUUCAAAUUUUCAAAUUAAUAUUUAUUAUUUUAAAUUUCUUAUUUAAAUAACCCAUAUUUACAUAAACAUGUGUAUUUGUAUAUCAUAAAUAAUGAAAAUGAAGAGUAUACUUUAAAUGUUUCCCAUGUGAUUUUUUGAUGAAAUAAAUAAAUAAUUUCAAAAAUAUAUACUUUAUACGAACUAUAUAUUUAUUUUUAUUUUGUUUUUUUUGUGUAUUUCACCUUUUAAUUUUCAUUAUAUUUUCCUUUUAAAUUAUUUAUGUCAUUUAUUUUGNGAUUUGGAUGGAAUAGUGACUAGGGUUUACAACUUGCACGAGAAUGUUAAAUUUAAGGUGCAUAUUGUCACGUUUUAAAGUUCAGAUAUUAAACUGCGUUGCAAAUCUAGGAGUUACAAAGUGUAAUUAACUCUUCUUUUAUAUUCGACGAACCCUCCUAAUCGGAGUAGUUGUUCAUAUUCGAUGAACAGGCUCCUACCAUCUCAGUCCACCCUCCCUCACUUUCUUGAAAAUCGGUUCCACAUGCAACACUCAGCUAAAAACAUCAUUUGGAUUUUGAUCCAUCAUCGUACAACCACAAAUUCAAAAUAACUACGCAUGUUUACAAUCUCUAACCUACACUCUUCUAACUUUCUCAUUGACUAACAUUCAGAACUACACACUAAUAUAAGUGUGAAUGUUACUCUAUAAAAUUUAUGGAUAUUUCUAAUGUGUGCCCAAGGGCACACAAUAAGCACCUGUGACAGUUCUCCAUUUAAACCAUCAUGUCUUGAUACGGUGAACUAAUGUCUUAACAUUCUUAAUAACGCAUGUCCUAAGGGCAAACUCAGCAGUGAUCCAAAGAUCCAAAUUUGGGGCAGAUUACCCCAAAUUCUCCUCCAGCAGUGAUCCAAAAAGUGAUCCAAAUUUGGAUCAGUGAAUAGUACUGAUCCAAAUUUGGAUCACCACUGUUCACUGAUCCAAAUUUGGAUCACCUACUUUAUUAUAAAAUAAUGAUUUUGUUAUUUGUAUAUCUUUCGUUUAUCAGACUUAAAAUUAAUUUGUGAUUAUUAAUAUUUAAUUAAUAAUAGUUUAUAAUUAAUGAUUAAUAAAAUUGAUGUUUUAGUACAAACUUAGAAUAAUAGGAAAGCAAAUUUCAUUGAAAUUAAAAAAAGAGUCCAUUACAUGCAUAAAAUAAAAAGUACAUAAAAUGCAUAAAAUAAAAUUACAAACUAACUAGAAAACAGUACGAUAAAUAUAAAUUUUGAUUUAGUCGAACAGAUUAUUUCUGUUUUCUCCAAUAUAAUCAAAAUAUUGUCCAUAGCUAUUCGUAUCAUUUUGAAAUCCUUGAGUUUCAUCUUCAUUUCCUUAAUUUUGAGAUACUUUGAUCGAUGUUAAAAAAAUAAAUAAUUAAUUAAUUAAAUUAAAUAUAAUAUAAGUAGUUAAGAAUGAUUAAAAAUUAAAUUCAAUUUAAAAUUUAUGUAAUAUAAUAUACAAAAAGUAAUUUGGAUCAAAAUUUGGAUCACGCUGCUGGAGUUGGUCAGAAAUUUGGAUCAGAAUUUAGAUCAGUUGGUGAUCCAAUUUUGGAUUUUUGGAUCACAACUGCUGGAGAUGGCUUAACAUUCUUAACAAUAUCCUCGUCAUUCUAUACGAUAGAUCCCAUGUACUUGAAAUUCUGCCAUAUGACCAUUACCUCAUUCCCCGUUACCUCUCUGUUGUAACUAGUUUAAAAAUACUCAAUUUUCGAACGAACGAAAAUCUUUUAUUUCUGAUAAUCUAUGCCGCUGUUAUGAUUUUGCUUUAACUGUCAUGCUAGACUCCGUCACUGAUACAAUAUUAUCAACAAAAAAAUUACAUCAUGAAACAUGAUCUCGAAUUCUCUCGAAUCCCUUAAAUUAAAAGUAUAAUGAAGCAUAUUUCUUGUCUAUUUUGUUGAGGUCUGAGGCAAAAUUUUAUAAACUCUUACAUAUAAUUUUAUUAAAAUACUAGCCUUUAACCCGUGCAAAGCACGGGCGAGUAUAGAAUUCGUAAUUUAUUAAUUAUAAUUUAAAAUUUUAACAUUAUCUUGUUAGUAUUUUAGAAUUGAUGAAUUAGAUUUUAACCAGAUUAUAUUUACCAACUGAUUAUAUUUUUUGGACGACUACAAAUUAUACCAUUGUCGGUUUAUUAUAAUAUAAUAUAUAAAUUAUAUUUGAAAGAAUAAUGGUGGAGUUUUUAUCUUGUACAACAUCUCAAGUGUUUGUAAUUUAAACGGUAUAAAACUCUUUAAUAUUAUUGUAAAAGUAAGAGAAGUUUACGUGUGACAAAUUUCUGAUUACAAAGGAGAUGACCAAACCAAAAUUUUGUACGACUACAAAUUAUACAUAUGUUGACUUAUUAUAAUAUAGUAUAGUAUAGAUAGUAUAGAUAUAUCAGUCCUUUUAAGUUAAAUAUGACAUAAUUAUUAAUAUAUAACUAAUAAUUGUGAAUGUUACUUGGAUAUGCCCCAGAGAAAGAGAGAUUUUUGUUUCAUGGGAACAAAUUAGAUUAAGAUUUAGUAUUCUACAAAAAAAACAAUUUACUCGGUAAGAUGUAUGAGAUUUCUGUCUCAUGUAAUAAAAUUGAAAACUCAAAGACUCGUACGUAAUUUCAAAUACUCACACAUAAUAUUGAAAAUUCAAUUUUCGUUAACUUAAACUUAUUAUAUAUAUAUAAUAAGUAGAGUUAAUAAAAUUUUUCACUGCUGAAAUAUUAAUUAAUAAAUUUUAUAUUUUUUUAGCUAAUAUAUUUUGACGUGUGUAAUUGCAGUCUUACAGAAGUACAAUGUGGAGGCAUCUUGUGCACAAGGAUCAAUUUUCUUAUUAUUAACUUACCAUAUAAAGUAUAAAAAUUCUAUAACCAAGAUUAAGAAAUACAAUGUAUAUUAAUCCGUAUACCACACUACAUGAACAAACAAGUACAUUAGCUCCUCCAGGGAUGCCAAGUAUAUUGAAAAACAAAACAAAAACAAACAAAAACAAAAAUAUUAGGUUGGUACAUUCUCAGUGUAGCAAGGCACCAACUGCAAAACAAAGAACCAAAGUGCUACACAAAGUAGAACAAACUGUAUAAAGAAAAGUAGAGCAAAGUUACAUGUUCUCUUCUUCAGCUUCAUGUUUUCACCCGUUUCUAUUUGUGUUUCUAACUUGUCCACUCCUCUUUUGGGCAUGCUCGCUUGGUAUCCUACACUUUCAGAGAAGCUAACUACCUGUGCUUGCUCUAUAGCUACAAGUUUUUGUUCUUCCAAAAAUGUGAUAUUACUCACUGCUGCUAAUCUCAGAUCUUCAAUUGUUUUCGACGUUACUAAGUACUCGACCAUAGCUUCGAUCCUUUGCUUGAAGAGGCCCUCAAGGUCCUCGACUUCUCUAGAAAUUCUUUGCUCUAGAUCUGACAUUUCUAUGUUUUCUUUUUGUAUUGAACCUGUAGAAGUUAGAGAGGGUUCAAGCGUAGACCUUGCCUCCUCAAGCUUGCUUUCUAACACAUUAACAUUCUGCUUUACG
rnacentral:lncRNA from 1 species